UGCAAGUCGAACGGUGGUAGCAAUAUCACAGUGGCGCACGGGUGAGGAACACGUAGCUCAUCUGCCCUCAAGCGCGGGAUAACGGUCCGAAAGGAUUGCUAAUACCGCAUAAGCUCACGGAUUGUAGAGGUCUGCGAGAAAAGGCGAAAGUCACUUGAGGAGGAGGCUGCGGCCCAUCAGGUAGUUGGUGUGGUAACGGCGCACCAAGCCAUCGACGGGUAGGGGACCUGAGAGGGUGAUCCCCCACACUGGGACUGAGACACGGCCCAGACUCCUACGGGAGGCAGCAGUGAGGAAUAUUGCCCAAUGGACGAAAGUCUGAGACAGCGACGCCGCGUGGGUGAAGAAGGCCUUCGGGUCGUAAAGCCCUUUUCUGUGUGACGAGCAAGGACGGUAGCACAGGAAAAAGUCUCGGCUAACUACGUGCCAGCAGCCGCGGUAAAACGUAGGAGGCAAGCGUUAUCCGGAGUUACUGGGCGUAAAGCGUGCGUAGGCGGAUGGGUAAGUGGGUCGUGAAAGCGCCGGGCUAAACCGGGCGAGGACGAUACAGACUGCUCGUCUAGAGGUGGAUAGAGGGGUGCGGAAUUCCGGGUGUAGCGGUGAAAUGUGUAGAGAUCCGGAGGAACACCAGUGGUGCAAACGGCGCCCUGGGUCCGAACUGACGCUGAGGCACGAAAGCGUGGGGAGCGAACGGGAUUAGAGACCCCGGUAGUCCACGCCGUAAACGAUGUCAACUAGGUGUCCACUUGGCUACCGGUUCAGGGGGUGCCGAAGCUAACGCAAUAAGUUGACCGCCUGGGGAGUACGGUCGCAAGGCUAAACUCAAAGGAAUUGACGGGGGCCCGCACAAGCAGCGGAGCGUGUG
rnacentral:rRNA from 1 species